AUAAAAAACAGAGGAGCGAAAAAGAUGACUAGCUAGGAAGAGGGUGAUUCCCCAAGAGGCCUAGCGAAAGGCUUUGUCGCCGAAGUUUCAAGACCCUCAUCAGGCUUGAUCCUGGGAUGCAGUUGAACAAGUUGCAAACUGUCACGAAGGUGGAGUACUGUCACUAGC
rnacentral:ncRNA from 2 species